GCCCUCGUUUCCUAACGGAUAAGGCAUCGGUCUCCUAAACCGGGGAUUGCGGGUACGAAUCCCACCGAGGGUA
rnacentral:tRNA from 13 species